AACGAACGCUGGCGGCGUGCCUAACACAUGCAAGUCGAACGAGAAAGUCCCUUUCGGGGGGCGAGUAAAGUGGCAGAAGGGUGAGUAACACGUAAGGAACCUGCCUUCGAUACUGGAAUAACAUGGCGAAAGUCGUGCUAAUACCGGAUACGAUCAUGAAGCGAGUGCGGAUUGAUGAAAGAAAGCCUCUGCUUGCAAGCUAUCGAUCGAAGAGGGUCUUGCGGCCUAUUAGCUAGUUGGUGAGGUAACGGCUCACCAAGGCAACGAUGGGUAACCGGCCUGAGAGGGCGAACGGUCACACUGGAACUGAGACACGGUCCAGACUCCUACGGGUGGCAG
rnacentral:rRNA from 1 species